GACACAAUGCAGUUUGUGGGCGUGUAAAAAUAAAACACAAAUAAUGCACACCGAAUGUAGAAAUGUACAGACAAAUGCAUUUACACAGAAAUAUCACAUAAUAUAUAAACACAAUUUAAGAACUGUAGUUCUACAAUGCCGCAAAUACAGGAAGUGAAUGAACUGAAACUCCGUGUUUUGGGGUCUGGAUAAGAAGUUGUCUCAGAGGAAACACUUCCCCUCAGUGAACUGGUUGGUUAGUUACAGUAAAUACAAGUGGGCGCUGGACGAGUAUUACGAUAAACGCUUCCCCGAGUUCAUCCCGCUGCGCACUAAAGCUAUAGAGGUCCUGCAGGAGGAGGAGGACCUCUGAGAUCGGCCAGUUCAACGGAAAGGGGUCUCUGGCAGAAACGGACAAAAUCACACUAGAAGUGGACAAACUCAUCAAAGACAACUUCCUGCAGCAGAAUGAGCACUGUCCGUUCUAUAAGACAGUAGGAAUUCUGUCUAACAUGAUGGCGUGUUAUGAGCUGGCGCGUCACGCGGUGGAGACGACGGUUCAGAGCAAAAACAGAGUCACGUGGGCGAUGAUCCGAGGGCACUCGGGGGAAAUUCUGUACCGGAUCAAAGCCAUGAAGUUCAAGGACCCAGUAAAGGAAGGAGAGAGGACGAUUAAAGCUGAUUACACUCAGUUCCUGGAGGACACGCAGAACACCUUCCGCACCCUGGAGGAGUAGAGCGUGAUGUUUGUGACCUUCAACCUCCACUGUGCUGUGCAGAGACUGUCCUCUGUGUGUAGCAAUAAUUGUACUGUACCAUUUCUGUUUUGUGUGUGUAUGAAACACAGAAGGGAGGGGCACUCUUUAAACCACGCCCCUUUUCUAUUCCAUGAGCAAUAGCCGUUAAUGGGUCAGUGGGACUGCUUUUUAUUUAUUUAUUUAUUUAUUUACAGUACAGAACUCAGUGUGCUGUAGUGUUUAUUAAUGUGUUUAUAUAAAUAUUCACGUGUGUGUGUGUGUGUGUUUGUAUGUGUUUACUCUGUAUCCUCACACACUGUUAAUACACACCUACAAGGGCUUCUGGGAAGUGAAUAAGGGUGCAUUGUAGACUGCAGUGAACCA